GAUCUCGCGAGAGUUUCCUCGGUGGUGCGACGAGAGUCUGCGAGAUUUGCGCGUCCGCCAUCUCUUGGAGCGAGAAAAGUAGCAGAACGCGAAGCGCCUGUCAACAAGUCCGAAGAGUGAGACUCAUAAAGAAGGUCAAGCGGGGCUCAGCGCUGCCUCUUUGUACCUGUUCCCCGUCUUUUGUCAGAGAAGACUUUCAUGUGAAAGGAGACAACGGCGGGGAAUAAGCCAGACAUGUCAAACCUCAGCAAAGGGGGGACUAAAAAAGACACCAAGAUGAGGAUACGAGCCUUUCCCAUGACCAUGGACGAGAAGUAUGUCAACAACAUCUGGGACCUCUUGAAAAAUGCCAUCCAGGAGAUUCAGGAGGAAGAACAAACAGUGGGCUGAGCUUCGAGGAGCUCUACAGGAACGCCUACACCAUGGUCCUGCACAAGCACGGAGAGAAGCUCUACACGGGCCUCAGGGAGGUGGUCACAGAACAUCUCAUCAACAAAGUACGAGACGAUGUGUUAAACUCUCCUGAACAACACAACUUUCU